UGGGAGGCUUUGAAGUGUGGACGCCAGUCUGCAUGGAGCCGGCCUUGAAAUACCACCCUUUAAUGUUUGAUGUUCUAACGUUGACCCGUGAUCCGGGUUGCGGACAGUGUCUGGUGGGUAGUUUGACUGGGGCGGUCUCCUCCUAAAGAGUAACGGAGGAGCACGAAGGUUGGCUAAUCCUGGUCGGACAUCAGGAGGUUAGUGCAAUGGCAUAAGCCAGCUUGACUGCGAGCGUGACGGCGCGAGCAGGUGCGAAAGCAGGUCAUAGUGAUCCGGUGGUUCUGAAUGGAAGGGCCAUCGCUCAACGGAUAAAAGGUACUCCGGGGAUAACAGGCUGAUACCGCCCAAGAGUUCAUAUCGACGGCGGUGUUUGGCACCUCGAUGUCGGCUCAUCACAUCCUGGGGCUGAAGUAGGUCCCAAGGGUAUGGCUGUUCGCCAUUUAAAGUGGUACGCGAGCUGGGUUUAGAACGUCGUGAGACAGUUCGGUCCCUA
rnacentral:rRNA from 1 species